GAUGAUAGUAGUAAUGGUAAUGGUAGUGGUGAUGAUGAUGGUGGUGGUGAGGAUGGUAGUGAUGGUGGUGAUGAUGAUGUUGGUGAUUAUGGUAGUAACAGUGGUGAUGAUGAUGGUGGUGGUGAUGAUUGUGGUGUGAUGGUGGCAAUGAUGAUGAUGAUGUUCCUUAAUGUUUUCCAGGCUUGGAUCAGUGAUACGGUUGUUGGCGAUUUUCAAGAUGACUUUUGAUCGACUUGGAAACAGGAUUACCGAAGUAUAUUUAUGAAUUUGUAUUUGUAUGAUUCAAUUUCUACUUGUUCAAUUUUAUCCUUUGCUAAAUAUUUUUAUAUUUUUCCUCAACACAGAAGUGGACUACCCGUCGAUUUUGUCGGGGCCCUUGACGAUGCUGAAGAAGGCUGUAUUGCCUUUAACUUUGUGGCUUUGUUAAUCAACUAUUCCAACAAAUCAUCCAGGUAUAUAUGUUGUGGCAUUAAGCUGUAAUAUUUUUAUUGUUACUUCGGAUUUUUGUGGAAAUAGUGGGGGAGGUGCAGUGGUUUAGCUCACGGCCCCCAUGGAAAGUUAGGGCUUAGAACGAAUGAAUUAUGACUGUACAACUCAACCAAUUUUGCCUUCAUUACAAUUACUACAAAGCUUCUUUCAAAACAUUGCAUUAAAAGGAUACUUGACACAGAGAUGAAUGGCUAUCACUGUUUCAAUUUUACAGAAAAACUUUCUUACGAAGUGUAGACCCUAAGCAACCGAAAAAUUCUAAUUUUCACUUUGAUCCGUCAGGGUAGGUGCAAAAAUUCUCAGGGGAGGUGCAAAACGAUCUCAUGGGAGGUGCGCACCUCCCCACAUCUCCCCUCAAAAUCCGACCGUGGGUUAACUUCAGAAAGGUUGAAACUUAUAGGAACAAGCAAAUUAAACCACGUAUCUCAAUUUCAUUCAUUUGAAUCAAAUACUACAAGACUACUGCAUAUAAUGAAAAAAUAAACAUUUUCAACUGCUUGUUGACCAUCGUCGAUAGCGCUUAGUAAAAUCCACCUAUACUUAAACAGAUUAUUCGUCAGGCUGAUGAUUCGUCUAUAGUAUAAAUCGGUCGAUUGAUAAUCGAUCGGACCAUUAUCUUUAAAGGAAUCUCGCCAUUACUUAUAUGUCAACGUUUGUUCUCUAUCUGUUUUAGUUCCAAAACUGUCGCUCCUGUUUGUUCGACACCCC